rnacentral:rRNA from 1 species
UAGGUGUUAGNCCCUUUCCGGGGUUUAGUGCCGUAGCUAACGCAUUAAGCACUCCGCCUGGGGAGUACGACCGCAAGGUUGAAACUCAAAGGAAUUGACGGGGGCCCGCACAAGCGGUGGAGCANNNGGUUUAAUUCGAAGCAACGCGAAGAACCUUACCAGGUCUUGACAUCCCUNUGACCGCUCUAGAGAUAGAGUUUUCCUUCGGGACAGAGGUGACAGGUGGUGCAUGGUUGUCGUCAGCUCGUGUCGUGAGAUGUUGGGUUAAGUCCCGCAACGAGCGCAACCCCUAUUGUUAGUUGCCAUCAUUUAGUUGGGCACUCUAGCGAGACUGCCGGUAAUAAACCGGAGGAAGGUGGGGAUGACGUCAAAUCAUCAUGCCCCUUAUGACCUGGGCUACACACGUGCUACAAUGGCUGGUACAACGAGUCGCAAGUCGGUGACGGCAAGCUAAUCUCUUAAAGCCAGUCUCAGUUCGGAUUGUAGGCUGCAACUCGCCUACAAGAAGUCGGAAUCGCUAGUAAUCGCGGAUCAGCACGCCGCGGNGAAUACGUUCCCGGGC